AUUGAACGCUGGCGGCAUGCCUUACACAUGCAAGUCGAACGGUAACGGGCCUUCGGGUGCCGACGAGUGGCGAACGGGUGAGUAAUACAUCGGAACGUGCCCGAUCGUGGGGGAUAACGAGGCGAAAGCUUUGCUAAUACCGCAUACGAUCUGCGGAUGAAAGCAGGGGACCGCAAGGCCUUGCGCGGACGGAGCGGCCGAUGGCAGAUUAGGUAGUUGGUGGGAUAAAAGCUUACCAAGCCGACGAUCUGUAGCUGGUCUGAGAGGAUGAUCAGCCACACUGGGACUGAGACACGGCCCAGACUCCUACGGGAGGCAGCAGUGGGGAAUUUUGGACAAUGGGCGCAAGCCUGAUCCAGCCAUGCCGCGUGCAGGAUGAAGGCCUUCGGGUUGUAAACUGCUUUUGUACGGAACGAAAAGCCUUCUUUUAAUACAGGAGGGUCAUGACGGUACCGUAAGAAUAAGCACCGGCUAACUACGUG
rnacentral:rRNA from 1 species